rnacentral:lncRNA from 1 species
UGCUUCUUUUUGGUCUUUUUUUGCUGAGUGCCUUGGAUGUGGAAACAAGCAAAGAUGAUUUGAACAAACAACCAAGGAGAUUAAAAUCAGACUACCAUGGCUAUUAUCAACAUGGCUAUUAUCCCUCUGUGGCAGAUGUCACUGCAGUUUUUAGCUCAAAGCAUGAAUGUGAGUCCAUUCCAGUUCUUCGUUGCUGUAAGAUGUGCAGCUGAAAAUGGAACUUCAGGAGCUAACUGAUGAAGCUGUUUUUAACUAAGGAAUUUAAAAUUCACCUGGAAAGUCUGUAAACAGGAGACCCCCCAAAUGCCUCAGGUUCUAAAAGUUCAGUGCUAGUAGAUAAGAUGAAAUGAUCACGCCUGCUUUAUAUAUGUGUGCUUGACACAGAUGAUAGACAAUCCAGCAAUUGUAUAUCAAGAUUUAGAACGAUGAAAAACAUUCCAUGGUUAUGAUGGCUGUCCUGGAAAACUGUUUUUAUUUCCAUCUUUUUGUUUAUGUUGCUGUGGUGAACAGAAUGUACAGCAGUAUUUCUUUUAAAAAUGGCCAACAGGUGUGUAUUAAUUCAAGCACCACACAAUAAGAAAAUCCCAUCCCUUUGUGCAUCUUUCUUUGGUGUCUAUGAAGGAAGCUGAAUGCCAUGGUAUGGGAUUAAGAUGUCCAUUCUGUACAAGAGGAGCAGCAGAAAGAAAAUCUUCAGUAUGGUAGAAACAAACCACUCAGACAGCCUUGACAUUCUGCCUGGGUUAUUUACAUGCACUGCAUGCCUGCGAGCUAUAAAAUAUGUUUGUUUACAAAAUGAAAUUAUUUCUUUUUUUUUUUUUUUCACAUUUUCUAUCCUCAUUUUUAUUUUUCAGAUAAAAUAAUAGAUUGAAACUAGUGGGGAAAAAGUCAUUUAAAAUAGACAACAAAAUUUUAGAGCCAAAAUAUAAAGCUGGGCAGAAGAUACGUGGUAUUUCAUGAAAUCCUCCCAGCUUUGACAAAGCAUGGGUAUAAAUUACAUAGCUGAGAAGAAACUAACUACAAAGAGGGUGCCCUGCGUAAGUUUGGUUUCCUUUCUGAAAGAGUCUGGAAUAGGAGAAACUGCAACUUAACUCUUAGCCUUUGACCACGGUAAUGUUCAACUGGAUAUCACCAAAUAUGUUAAUAGCAUUUCCUGACAGAAAUUCUUGAAAUGGACUGAUAGUAAAAAGAAAUAAUAUACUGUUUUUCUUUCUUGUCAAUGUGUUGAGUAAUUGUUCUUCAGAAUUUACAGCCUGAUAUAAACCUUGCAAUACUCAUUUUAAAUAUAGUCUGUUAUUUGUUUUUCCAAGUAAGAUAAAUGGAAGUUACUGUGAUAAAAAUCAGGCUUUUGUUUUUCUAAAACAAUUUGAUAUUAUUUGGAAUACAUUAUGGCUUUGGAUUCGUUAAAUACAUGAAUGCAUUUUUUUCUCUAAAUCUGUCGUAGCCACAAAUUCUAUACAUGAGCAAACUGAAAAACCAAGCAUAGUGCCUAGAUCUCCCUAGCAUAGUCCCUACAUUUCGGUCUUAUUAAGACUGCUGGCGUAGUUUCUCUACAAAAUUCAUGCAGUUAUUUACUUUUCCGAAAUUUGUGCACAUAAUUAAAGCUAUACUCCAACAAGUAAGGUUUUAUGUUUAUUUUGACUCAGUUAUCUGUUAUCUUUAGAACAAAAAUAUCUUUUUAUUUGACUCCUAAAUAUUUAAAGUGAAGUUUGUUUAGCUGCUCUCUUGCUACCAAUUUUCUCCUACCAUCCAAAUAGAUUUGAGAUGACUGGAGAAGAAUGUAUUUCUGAAUGGAAGUUGUCACUUUCUAUUUCUAGCACUGAAUUUUUGUGUUAAAGAUGAAGAACUAAAACGCCAACUUUUGUCUCUCUGGAGUCUUUUUGUUUUUCUCAUAAUCAGUGCAUUUCUACAGGCAGGACUGGCAAGCACUUGUAGCAUUUUCAACUGAUUAAAUAUGGUAUAUGUUUUUUUAAUUGGAGCGUUCACUCCCAUGACAUUUAGCGCUACAAUGGCAUGUUUUUGGAGAUCUGUAAUUAAAAUAUGACUAGACAAAAAUAAAACAUGUGGAAUAACAUAAAUCAAACUCCCCUAUCUCCAGAACUGAUGCAAGCAAAGACAAACCUCGGCAAACCCAAUAUGACCCAGGAAAACAAGCAAACAAACAAAAACAACACAAACCAAAACUAAAAAAACCCCACAGAGACUCAGUGUUGGUCCUGAAUAGAAAAAUCAACUCAGAAAGAAUCCAGCAUUGGUAUAACAAUUUGUCAUAGCAACAGCAGGGGCUGUAAAACCAGCAGCCAUACUGUGACUCCGUGUAGUUCUGUAUGCCCAGGUACACGUUUCUGCCAACCUGACUGCAACUUACACCAGCAGGAUUAAAAUGUAUUAAUCAUAUUUGAAUUUGUUUUCCAUUUUUUUUCCCUGUGUAACAUCAGACAUAAAGCCUU